UACGGGGGGGGCAAGCGUUGUUCGGAAUUACUGGGCGUAAAGGGCUCGUAGGUGGCCAAUUAAGUCAGACGUGAAAUCCCCAGGCUUAACCUGGGAACUGCGUCUGAUACUGGAUGGCUUGAGUUCGGGAGAGGGAUGCGGAAUUCCAGGUGUAGCGGUGAAAUGCGUAGAUAUCUGGAGGAACACCGGUGGCGAAGGCGGCAUCCUGGACCGACACUGACACUGAGGAGCGAAAGCCAGGGGAGCAAACGGG
rnacentral:rRNA from 1 species